AUGAUUCUCAACCCUUUUGCCUUUUGCCUCCAAGAAACUCAUUUGUCACCAGACAGUCCUUUGUCUUUGAAAAAGUUUGUUAGUUUUAAUGCAUAUGGUCCAAACAUACAUGGACCUUCUGGUGGCUCAACUAUAUUAGUUCGACAUGAUAUUAUUCAUAGUCAAAUCCCAAUAGACACUAACCUUCAAGCAGUAGCAGUACGAUUAACCCUUCAUAAGGCCAUCACUCUGUGUUCUAUUUAUAUACCUCCUGAUGUACCAGUGACGCUUCAAGAUUUAAAUAAGCUUUCUGACCAACUACCAACUCCCUUCAUAAUUAUGGGAGAUCUUAAUGGUCACAGCCCGCUAUGGGGUGGAAAAUAUACCAACGCAAAAGGGAAAAAAAUUGAAGAUUUUAUUAAUAACAAGGAUUUGUGUCUUCUUAAUGAUGGCUCAAAUACAUAUUUGCAUCCGGGACAUGGAACAUAUUCUGCAACUGAUAUAACAAUAUGUGUACCUGAACUUUUACUUGAUUUCUUGUGGCAAAAAUGGGAUGAUUUAUGUGGAAGUGAUCACUUCCCCCUCAUCAUUACCCCCAUAAGAUCAGACUUUCAACAGAAAAACCCUAGAUGGAAACUCGAUAAAGCCAAUUGGUACCUUUUUCAGACCCAGUGCUUUGAAAAAAUUAAUACAACACUUAAUGAAUGUCAAGAUCCUAUUAGUAGUUUUACAGAUAUACUUAUGGAAAUAGCAAAUGAAACUGUACCAAAGACGACAUCAAAUCCAAGCUGUAGGAUUAAUCCAUGGUUUGAUGACAACUGUAAAAAGGCUAUUAAAGAUCGGAAAAAAGCAGAGAGGAUCUUCAACAAUCAUCCAACAAAUGAAAAUUUAAUCAAGUUUAAAAUAUGUCGAGCUAAGCACGUAGAGUUUUUAAAUGAUACAAAGAGACAGAGCUGGAAAAGAUUUGUAUCAAAUUUAACAACUAAUACUCCUACCAAAAAAAUCUGGGAUUUAAUUCGAAAGAUGAAAAACAAAGGAGAAGGUCCUCAAGUACGACAUAUUAAACAUCAGGACUCCCUUUUAACCACAAGCCAUGAAAUAGCAAAUGUACUAGCAAUGUCAUUUGAAAAGAACUCUUCACUAGAAAACUGUCGACCUGAAUUUAACAGAAUACGUACUCAGCAGGAGCAGAAACCCAUAAAUUUUUAUUCAAAUAACACUGAACCAUAUAAUAAGCCUUUUACUAUACAGGAGCUAUCUAGUGCUCUUAAACGAUCUCAUAAUACUGCUGUUGGACCUGACAAAAUUCAUUAUGAGUUUUUGAAGCAUCUGCCUCAUACAGUAUUAUUAAUUCUUCUGGAAAUGUUUAAUACCAUAUGGAGAACAGGAGACAUACCAUCAUCUUGGAAGGAAGCUAUUGUUAUUCCCAUUCCCAAACCGGGCAAGGACCACUGUGAUCCAAAUAAUUAUCGGCCAAUAGCUCUGACCAGUUGUGUCUGUAAAACCAUGGAAAGAAUGGUAAAUGACUGUCUGGUGUGGACACUGGAGUCGAAGGCGCAAGAUCAGUGA
rnacentral:lncRNA from 1 species